CAGUAGCCGCGGUAAUACGUAGGUGGCAAGCGUUGUCCGGAAUUAUUGGGCGUAAAGGGCUCGCAGGCGGUUUCUUAAGUCUGAUGUGAAAGCCCCCGGCUCAACCGGUGAGGGUCAUUGGAAACUGGGAAACUUGAGUGCAGAAGAGGAGAGUGGAAUUCCACGUGUAGCGGUGAAAUGCGUAGAGAUGUGGAGGAACGCCAGUGGCGAAGGCGACUCUCUGGUCUGUAACUGACGCUGAGGAGCGAAAGCGUGGGGAGCGAACAGGAUUAGAUACCCCUGUAGUCCCUGUCUCUUAUAC
rnacentral:rRNA from 1 species